rnacentral:rRNA from 1 species
AUUGAACGCUGGCGGCAUGCCUUACACAUGCAAGUCGAACGGCAGCACGGGAGCAAUCCUGGUGGCGAGUGGCGAACGGGUGAGUAAAGUAUCGGAACGUGCCCAGUCGUGGGGGAUAACGUAGCGCAAGUUACGCUAAUACCGCAUACGAUCUAUGGAUGAAAGCGGGGGAUCGCAAGACCGCGCGCCAUUGGAGCGGCCGAUAUCAGAUUAGGUAGUUGGUGGGGUAAAGGCUCACCAAGCCGACGAUCUGUAGCUGGUCUGAGAGGACGACCAGCCACACUGGGACUGAGACACGGCCCAGACUCCUACGGGAGGCAGCAGUGGGGAAUUUUGGACAAUGGGCGAAAGCCUGAUCCAGCCAUGCCGCGUGCAGGAUGAAGGCCUUCGGGUUGUAAACUGCUUUUGUACGGAACGAAAAGGUUUGGCCUAAUAAGCUGAGCUCAUGACGGUACCGUAAGAAUAAGCACCGGCUAACUACGUGCCAGCCGCCGCAGUAA